UGAGGAUUUGGAAGGAGGCUUCCCCCU
rnacentral:piRNA from 1 species